AGGGCUCGGGGCCGGGACGGACCGGGGGGGGAGCGGGAUGGAGCGGCGCUGUCACCUCCCCACCCCAAGAGGGGUCUUUCCCAGGGGCCGGUCUAUAAAGGCGCUGCGGGCCCGGGGAGCGGCGCGGAGCGGAGGGGCGAGGCGGAGCUGCGGUUUGUGAUCCCGGCGCUCGGAAGCCCUCGGUGCGAUGCCAUCCUGCCAUGUGCCCAGUUUGAGGCAUCUGUCCAAGUGGAUGCUCCCCCCUCUCCUCCUUUUGCUGGCUGAGCUCGCCUGCGAUGCCCAGCCCACGUACCAGUGGAAGGAUGCUGCGACGGGCGAGAGGAUCACUUGCCAGCAGUGCCCGCCGGGGACCUUCGUGGCUCAGCACUGCUCCAGGGACAGAGCCACUCUGUGCCAGCCCUGCCCGGAUUUGCACUACACUCGGUACUGGAACUACCUGGAGAAGUGCCGCUACUGCAACGUGAUCUGCGGGGAGAAGCAGGUGGAGGUGCAGCAGUGCAAUGCCACGCACAACCGAGCCUGCCAGUGCCAGCAAGGCUACUACUCCAACAUGGAGCUGUGCAUCCGCCACUCCGAGUGCCCGCCCGGCACCGGGGCUCUGAGGCCGGGUACCCCCUUUGAGGACACCCAGUGCCAUGACUGCCCCCAUGGCUUCUUCUCCUCCAACUCCAGCACCAACCCAUGCCAGCCACACCAGAACUGUGAGCAGCAGGGGAAGGUGACCAACGUGAAGGGCAACAGGUACCACGACACCCUGUGCACGUCCUGCAGACCUGGGGGAGGCAACAGCACACAGGGAGCAGCUGCAGAUGAUGACGACUGCGACCAGGCCAUGAUAGACUUUGUGGUGUACCAGAACAUCCCCGUCAAGAAGCUGAAGCGCCUGCAGCAGAUCCUGGAGCGCUCCCCAAAGAAGCAGGCAGCAUGGACCAGGGCAGCCAUCCAGGAGAAAAUCCGGGCUUUCCUCACCCACAAGAAGGAGGAGGACUCUGAAGUCACCAAGGAGCUGCUGGAUGCGCUGCGCAUGGUCAAGCUCCACUCCAUUGAGGAGAAAGUCCGUGAGCGCUUCCUGCGGCGCUGAGAGCAAGGACUGGACUUUUUGGGUGCUCUUUGUUUUGGUUUUUAUCUUCUGAGGCUUCAUUAAUUUAUUCAUCUUUCCAAACAUAACUUGAAAAGCAGCAUGAGAGAUGAGUGAUGGAGUGGCAUCGUGCUGUGGCAGCUGUGUCACUGCUGAUGAUGGGAUGGGAUGGGAUGGGAUGGGAUGGGAUGGGAUGGGAUGUGUGAGCAGCAGCACCCCCUUGCCAGCUGCUGGGGCAGCUCCUAGGAGCUCACCAGGUGUUGGCCAUGGAUUGUCCAGCCCUCACCAAGAGUCAAUAUUUUAUCAUGAGAAAAACCUGCAUCCAAGGUCAUUAUUUCUGGGGAAGAACAAGGUUCCCUUUGUAGAAAAGGGUUUGGCUUUGUUUUAAACUGUGUAAGUUUGGGCUUGUUGGGAGUUUUAGUCAUUUAACAGUAUUUCCCAUGGAGGAUUUGCUUGUGAUUUUUAUCAUGCUUUUGUUUGAGAAGAGAGUUUGCUGCUGAGGCACAGGAAGGGGGAGGAUGCCCCAAACUCAGUGGCACAGCUAGUUUGAAAUUUAUUUCUCAACUACCUGUUUUUAUACCAUGUAUGAAAGAUGUUUUCUAAAGAAAGAAACCAAAGAAGUUAUUUUAUCAUACACCUCUCUGUCACCCAAGUCCUUUCCUAAGUCUCACCUGGAGGUGGUGCUGGGAGACCCAGACCAUCAUAUCUGACCCUGGAUAUUGUCUGUUUUCCCCACAUGUUGGCAUCUCUGCCCAUGGCAGGGCAUUGGAACAAGGUGAUCUUGGAGAUCCCUUCCAACCUAAACCAUUCUGGGAUUCUGUGAUCACCCAGCCCCAGCCCUGAGCCACGGUGAGGCUGUGUGCCAGCAGGAUUCAGACAGUUUGCACUGGGAUUUGUGGCCAGGGUGACUCACAGCCCAGCUGUGUCCCCCUGAGCCCCAGCUCUGUCCCCAAACCUGGCUGUGUGCUCAGUGAGCUGGGCUUGGGACAGUUCUGCUGACUGCAGGAAGUUUUUAUAAACAGAUGUUGCUUAGGGAAGUCAACAAAACUGAUCCUCUCUGGCAUUUUCCAGCCUGUAGCAAUGAUGACGCAGAGCUACAUUUUAUGCUGUGAAUGAGUUUGACUUUUUAUAGCUCUUUUCCUGUGGAGCAGAUGCCAGGAAUAGUUUGUGGUUCAGAAGAUGAUGUUUUCCCCCAGUUUAAAGCUCUCUGAAGUGAGUGCUACCUGGAAGUGCCCCCACACUUCCUCUGUGCCAGGAAGCUGAGGGGGAAGAAGGGAAUUUUACCCUCCCCUCACUGCCCACAGACACAUCCCAGGCUCUUCUUGCUGCAGUGACAAGUUAAUCCACGGCAGUCUGGAUGACAGGGAAUGAUCUCAAGGGGCAGUGCUUGCCUCUUCACUGCUCCAGAGCUUGGGAGUCCCUGGAUGUGUGCUCACACCUGCCUGGCACCACAGGCUUGAACUGAGGAUCCCAGGCUUGAACUGGGAUCCCAAACUUGCAAUGUCUCACCCCAUUUUUGGGCUCUGAGGAUGAAGCAGCUCAGUGACCCUGGCAUUGUCCUGGGUUGAUUCAGCCAGGGAAGAAGAGAAGCAAAUGGCUGAAAAGCAGCUGAGGGGAGCCCUCACCCCUCUAUAUUGAGCCUGGUCUGACCCUGGGAAUCCCCUCAGUCCUGGCAAUCUCCUUGAAGCUUCACCAAGCCUGGCCUUGAAAUCCUGCCAAGGAGCUUACAGGGGACCAGAACUCCCCUUCCCAAUGCUCAGUUUUUACUCCUUCUGAUUUCUGCCCUCCCAAGCUGCUUUAUCCCAGUGGGAUACAGCUCAGUCUCUGAGCAUCACUUUCUCCGAGUCCCUUGGCAGGAGCCAAGUGCCUCUGCAGGGUCUGAGAGCAGCGGGGGCAGGACAUGAGGAGGGUUUCCACCAGAGCACAGUGAGAACUGGAGCUCAGCUGCAGCACUUUGCUCCAAGGCAGAGUGCAAGGCAGGACAGCCAGUGCUGAUGGGUUGAAGGCUGGAGCAGCCGAGCGUUGGCUGCAGCUCCUUGAGGGAUUCCCAGCCUGCUGCAUUGCAGUUAUCCUGACUCAGCACAAAGCAUUUGGAGCCCUUGGUCUGAAGGGGAACAGGAAUGGAGAGCUCUUAGUGCAGGAACUGCCUCCCACACUGAAUGAGGGUCCACCAUGUCCAGCCCUCCUUAGGGCACCAUGUCUGGCUCCCUUGUUCCUUGGCAGGCUGCAGUGGGGACCACAGAGCUCAGCUCAGUGAAGCAGGAGAGGGGGAUUAAAUAAUGAGAUGGGCCAGCCUGUGUGAGAGAGCUCUGCACCCACUGCCAGCUUCCCCUGCCACCAGGCACUGCAGCACCAAGGAACAGGCAGGGGAUGAUGCCCUGUGCCACCAGCUCGGUGCCACGAGCCUGAUUGCUCUGCCAGGGUAUCUCCUGAACACCCAUAUCAUGUUCUGUUCUGGGGAUUUGGAGCCUCUCCUCAGUCUCCUCCCAAUCCUGUUCCCCUCAUUGCCAAGUUAGCUGGAAUUUCUGCACAGGGAAUUUUCUUCUCACAUGGGCUCGUAGGCAGGGUGACUGAGGAAGAUCUUUCUGAUAAAUAUUAACCUUUAUAAGUGUGGCCAAACAGCCUGGCAUGUGAGUCCUGCUGGGCUUUCAGGAACUAGGCUUUGCUGAAAAACCCAGGAUGGGUACUGCACAGAGCCCUCUCAAACCACCUGUGGCUUCAUCACAAGGUAUUUCACCUUUUCAGCUAAUUAACAUUAAGAGGAUGAAAAUCCCUUUUGGUUUCCCCUGAAGUUUCCAAAGCACAGAGAGAGAAGAGGAAGAGUUGGCAGCGUGAGCUUUUUCCUGAUGGUUUAAGACUCUUUCCUCAUAAACUGUGGCAGAGGAGAGCACACAGUAAGAUCUAAAAGUAGAUGCAGUGAUAUCCCAGGAUGACUCAGAUAUUUAGUACAUAGAAGAUAAUUUUCCAAAUGCUACAAGCACUAUAUAAAAAGCCAAGCCCGUGCUGCUCUCCACGUCAGGAUUCCCCCUGCUGUUAGAUGCUUAAACCCAGAUAAAAUCCCACAAAUCCACUGGCUGGUUUAAAGUGCUGAAAUGGGUUAGGUCAGUGCCAUGGGCUCCUUGGCCACCUGUAACCACAGCCAGGUGUGGCAAUGACUCAGGCUGGUGGUGGUGAUGCCUCAAACCCUGGAGGAUUGGCAGCAGGAGCUGACAUGCUCCCAACCUGCUCGGUGCAGGAGCAGUUGGGACACGUCUCUCCUCAUCCCAGGAGAGCUGGGCCAGCUGUAAAGAUUGGAAUGAGGUCAGGGAAUUACUAACGUGAAUGGAAGGAGUCAGAGGGAGUUUUUCUGGUGAGUUCACACAUAGCUGGCUCAUGCCAGGGGUGGAGAUCCAGGAUUGAUAGAGGAAACAAAGCAGGGGAAAUUCUGAGGUGUGCAGAGAGCUGUGAGGGGAUGAAACCAGGGCAAGUGCACAAUUCAUCUUGUUGAAACAGCCUGCAGCCCUCUUGGCCUGAGGCUGCCAACUUGUCACGCACAAGACAGGUAAAUUCAAUCUUCUGCCUGCAAAUUUUGCCACCCUCCCAUGUUGUUCAGUAGCUGACAAAGGGCUGAGACCUCCAGGCUCUGUGGGAGUGUGCUCAGGGACUGCUAAUGCACACAAAACUUGUUUGCAUUCUCCCAUCAUUAUCCAGAGGUGCAAAUUUUAUCUUAUUUUGAAGCACACUUCUGUUUUCCUCCUGAUGGUAACAUUUUCCUUUCCGGCUGUAAAUCUGUGUGAUGUGUCCAGGCUGUCCCUGCUGGGACUCAUCCUUCACAGCAGUCACUCAACAGAGGGACCAAAUUUCCUGGUGCCAGGGCCAGAGGGGGACAGUGCCAGCCCUGUUGGAGAAGCAGAGGUGAGCCUGAGGAAGUCAAUCCUGCCCUAGAGCAGGAGCAGAGGGGGCUGAGAUGUGCAGGGCAUUGAACAGAGAUGUUGGGACAUCUUUUCCCACAGGGUCUCACCUGAUUCCCUGCCCUCAUUUCUACCCCUCCUCAAUUUAUAAUUUUUAUUCCUUUCUGUGUUCAAGGAGCUUCCUAAGAAUGGAAAGUCUACAAAAGCAAGAGAAGGCACAGCAGGUGACCUGUCCCAGAUGGAGCCAGGGGGACACAGGGGAACUGAGGAGCCCCAGGAUGAGUCGGUGUCACUUUGGCCAGGAUCCGUUCCCAGACUCAGGAUCCAGCCCCUGACUCUGCUGGUGGUGGAGAAAAUCCUGUUAAAUCCAGAGGAGCAAAAUCUUUCAACAGGGCAGGAUACACCCCAGUAUGCCCCAGGUCCUCUGGCAGAAGAGCCCAUCUGAAAGCCCUUGGUCACCAAACCCAGCAAAAGCCCAGCAUGGAGCUGAUGAUCCCUGUUGGCCUCUCCCAACUCAGGAUAUUUAAUAAUUCUCUGAAACACUGAGCUGCCCAUACAUUCCUCUGCCUGUUACAGGCAGUGAGGAGGUGCUGUGCCUUACACCAGCUUCUGGGAACAGCAAAUUGCUUAUUCCUCCUUAUGACUGCCUUAUAGAAUGUUUUUAUUCUUUGUGGGAAUCUGACUCAAGAAGGAAAAAAAAAUCUAAUGAAAAUCUCUAAUGAAAUAGUAUCAGGUUUUCUGAUUUCUGAGAAUUGGCAGAGGAAUUCCUGGCUAUGAACUGAACUGCAAUGCAACAGAAACAACUCCAGAGGUUCCUGUUUCAGGAAAACACUUAAGAAUACACUUAAUUUUCAAGUCAAUUUAGUUUGCCCUCAGAGUAGUGCUGCUGGUAUGUGCUGAAUACAGAUGGCUUAAGGCUGCAUAGUUCCUCCAAAUGUUUAGCAUGAAACGCAUUCAGCUGGAGGAUAUAUUCUGCAAAUGAUGAAGAAUCACAAAAUCCCAGAAUUCCAGCUUGGGACUGACCUCAAGGAUCAUCCAAUCCAACCUUUCUUGGCAAAAGCAUAGCCUAGACAAGUGGGCCAAGCACAAAAAGAAGUUACUAGUCAUGAAUUAGCAGUGUUAGUGAGAAUACUACAUAUUGGUGCAGAAGGGUUUUGUUUCAAGAAAAGGAUCCUGUGUGUUCUGAAGUGAAUGUAUCCACUGCCUCAGCUUCAAAGCUACCUUGGGUAACACGUGGGAAAGGUGGGACUGCACAGAGCCUCAAGAGAGAUGUGAGGAAUGUGAUACUCAAGAGGACUCUCUUAACAACACAGGAAUUUUGAAACUUCAUUUGGCAUCAGCAGCUGGAAGGAAGAAGUGCAACCAAGAAGCAAUGAGGAUUCCUGCCCCCUGAUUUUGUGUUUAAAAAAAAAGUCAGGCAGAAUUCCAGCACUGUGUAGUUGGAACUACCAAUGUUCCUCCUCUCCUUUCUUCCGGCUGACGAGCAUCUCAUUUAUGGAAAACCUUUAGGUAAUUUUUUCCCCCAGUGCUAGUGCACACCGUGCUAUCCAUGUCUUCUGCACCUGAUGUGUGUCAUUUUCCAUGAGGUCUGAUUCUUUUUAGUACUAGUUUGUUGCUCUACCAGGAAUUUUAGGCAUCACUCCCUUCUGAUGUAAUGGAUGAACGCUUGUGAUCGGAAGUAAUUUGUGCAGAUGAAGUGAUUUGAGAGCAGACACUGCUGAGAGCUGGGACUAGGUCAUCAUGAAGGCAGUCUGGGAAUAAAAAAAGCUUGAGUGUGUGUAAAGAAAUGAAUGGAAAGCCCCCAGGAGUUGUCAUGGAAGCUGGUUUUACCAGAGGAGCAGAGAAACAACUCCCUUAGGGAUUGCAGAAGCACAAAGAACAAAACUCAAGGAUAAAGUUUCAGGAAAUGCCCAAGGUCAAGUAAACAAUAACGUGUUAUCCACCAGGAAUGUUUCACAUGGGAUUUCCAGGUGCUAUAAAAUUCCAGUGUAAAAAGCACCUGCUCCAAUUUUUUAGCAUCCAUUGUAAGAACUCAGAGGAGGGGAAAGGCUCUUGGCACCUCACCACUCCCCCUGAUCUCUCAGGAGAGAAAUUAGAGUAAAAAACUGCCAGGAGGGAAUUAUGAGAGGUCACCCAGCCUAGAACCUGUCUGCAUGGCAGGGGAAAUUCAGCUUGUUUUCAUUAAUUGUUCAAAUUGGUCUUGGGAAAUCUAUAGACAAAUAGUCAGGAGUCUGAAAACAGGCCCAAAGGUGAAGGCAAACUGAGCCUGUGGUGCUGCUUUGGGCAAAAGCUGAGGAGCAGCAGCAGAGCUGGACAUGGAGGCAGGAUUCACUGUCCUUGAUGUGUGGACACUGCUGGUUGUGUGCCAGGAAUUACCACCCACAUUAAGCAGAUUUUUUGAUUUAAAGGGAUAUUUGUCAAGUGCACUGACAGCACCACUCAGUCUUUAUAAGUUCUCUCCUUGACACCAUUUGCCAGGAGAGACAGAUCCCAGGACUGUGUUAAAAAUCCAGGGAAAUACUAGAUCAAUUCAGAACCCUCCAAAAGUACUUUAAGGCAGGAUUCUAGCUGAGCCUUACAUUUCCAGAUCUGUACUACCAGCUCAGAGUCAGUUAAUCAAGAACACUUCUGGAAAUCAUGACUAAUCCAACAACCUCAUAUACAGCUAAAACAUCACUGCUGGAGACACUCAUAAAGAUUGUGAUCUGUCUUGUAUCAGCAGAUUCUCUAAAAAAAACUGCUGGAUUUGCUGGCUGUGUCAGCAGUACACAAGCAGGAUGGUAAGGAAGAAGAGACUAAACAUAGCUCAGUUAGCAAUAAAACCAUCCUACAGCACUGGAUAUUAAGUCCACUUCAUGAUGAUGGCUUGAUUUCAGUUUGUCAGAGUAGGAAGGAUGGCCAGGGCUUCUGUUUGCUCCAUUUUCUGAGAAAGAUGUUAGCAGCCAGAGACUGGACUAAGAUGCUGGACUUACUCUGAAGCUGGGUCUGAUUUGUCUUGGCAUUCUCCAUGGUUCUGUGGAACAGAAUGUUGUGGCAAGAGGGAUGAGCUGUGACCUCAGCACCACUGCAACACACAUGUCCCUGUGGGACAGGACAGGGUCAGACCAGCCAAAAGCAGUCACUCUGCAUCCUUCCAGAACUCCACAUGAAGAUGGAAUUGCCAGCACACAGGCAGCACUGGGACUCAAAGAAAUGCUUCAGAAGUGGUUUUUCAGCUCUUGUCUCUUGCUGCUACCAGUUAUUGAAUGUUAGCAUAGGAAAUUCCAGAUGGGUGAGAGAAUUCCAAACGGGUGAGAGAAAUGUAAUCAUCUGUCCAUGCUCAAAUAAGGCAAGUGGGAUCCUCUGCUGAAGUUAUUGAACUCUUACCUUUAUCUCAUGGACAGCAUGCCAAAGGGAAGAGGGAUUGCAAAGCUGUUCUGGUUUGACAUUGGCACAAGGCCAAAUGCCCACAUGAAAAUACACCUUCUCUGGUGUCUGCUGUGAGAUUUUGACCAGGAAUAAACAAAGCAGGCUCUCACUUGAAAAA